rnacentral:rRNA from 1 species
GCAUAUCAAUAAGCGGAGGAAAAGAAACUAACAAGGAUUCCCCUAGUAACGGCGAGUGAAGCGGGAAGAGCUCAAAUUUAAAAUCUGGCGGCCUCAGGUCGUCCGAGUUGUAGUCUAGAGAAGUGUUUUCCGCGCCGGACCACGUACAAGUCCCUUGGAACAGGGCGUCAUAGAGGGUGAGAAUCCCGUACUUGACGUGGACCCCCGGUGCUUUGUGAUACGCUCUCCAAGAGUCGAGUUGUUUGGGAAUGCAGCUCAAAACGGGUGGUAAAUUCCAUCUAAAGCUAAAUAUUGGCGAGAGACCGAUAGCGAACAAGUACCGUGAGGGAAAGAUGAAAAGCACUUUGGAAAGAGAGAGUUAAACAGUACGUGAAAUUGUUAAAAAGGGAAACGAUUGAAGUCAGUCAUGCCCGGCAAGACUCAGCCUCGCUUCUGCGUGGUGCACUUCUUGUUGGGCGGGCCAGCAUCAGUUUUGACCGGCGGAAAAGGGUAAGAGGAACGUGGCUCCCUCGGGAGUGUUAUAGCCUUUUGCCGUAUACGCCGGUUGGGACUGAGGAACGCAGCGUGCCUUUUGGCGGGUCUUCGGACACCCACACGCCUAGGAUGCUGGCAUAAUGGCUUUAAACGACCCGUCUUGAAACACGGAC